GUCCCCGUGCAAGCGCACAAGAAGCCCUGAAGUGGGGUUCACCUGCAGCCAGCAGACUUAGUGGGCAGACCGCAGCUCAACAGUCUACCAGAGUCUUGGGAUGGCCUUGCCAGGCAAUCUGAGGGCCCGGCAGCCGAGUUGUCUGCUUUUAUAGGUGGUGUGUCGUUGCAAGAUCUGAAGCUGAAAGUUACAUGUAGUGCAGAACUAAAACAUUUGACCUGCCUGGGCAGAACCUGACCCACUGCUCAUGCAGCCUGAGUUAAGAGAUAUAACAUGGGGAAAUGAAAAGUGAUGGGCACUCCAGAAAUAUUAUCAAGAGAGAAUUCUGUUUCCAGUCCCAGCUUAAACCAGG